rnacentral:rRNA from 1 species
GAUGAACGCUAGCUACAGGCUUAACACAUGCAAGUCGAGGGGUAACGAGAGGUAAGCUUGCUUUCCUUGUCGACGACCGGCGCACGGGUGAGUAACGCGUAUCCAACCUGCCCCCAACUAGGGAAUAACCUUGCGAAAGUAAGACUAAUACCCUAUAAUUUCCUCAGAUGUCAUCUGACGAGGAAUAAAGAUUUAUCGGUUGUGGAUGGGGAUGCGUCUGAUUAGCUUGUUGGCGGGGUAACGGCCCACCAAGGCAACGAUCAGUAGGGGUUCUGAGAGGAAGGGCCACCACAUUGGAACUGAGACACGGUCCAAACGCCUACGGGAGGCAGCAGUGAGGAAUAUUGGUCAAUGGGCGGAAGCCUGAACCAGCCAAGUAGCGUGCAGGAUGACGGCCCUAUGGGUUGUAAACUGCUUUUAUACAGGAAUAAAGUUAGCCACGUGUGGUUAUUUGUAGGUACUGUAUGAAUAAGGACCGGCUAAUUCCGUGCCAGCCGCCGCAGUAA